UUGUCACUUCGCUCUCAGACACAGAGACAAUCACUCUGGACACACACAUUCCUUCAGGGACAUAGCGAUUAUCCUCAGAAGAGAUCUACUUGUUCGUACUGGAUUCUCCCAGAGGAGGAUUUCUCGACUGAAAAGAGAAGAGAGAAGAGAAGAGAAGACACUCAGCAUCUCCAGUCCAGUCCGGAUUUGAGCUACAGGGACUCUCCGGACUUAUUUGUGAAAAUUAUCAUUAGUUUCAGCUCCUGAAACCAGCUGCCACCUAACUAUGAGGAUAUUCAACCUGCUCUACCUUCUCAUGCUGCUCGCAGUCAUGGCAGCAUCGGUCUCCUCUGCCAAGCCAGAUUUCUUGAACCUGAGGAAAAAAUACCACAGACACCACUGCCCACACAGACGCUGCCUGCCUCUGCACUCCAGAGUACCCUUCCCUUGAGGUCAGAAGAACUGCAAUGGGGAAGACUCGAGGAGAGAAAUGUGAAUAUGGACUGCAGUUUGUGGCACAAACAUCAUGGCUGGAGCCCAGGAAAGAAGGGGAGAUAUGGGACUCCACAAAGAUGCCACCCACAGACUUUAAUGUACAUGUAUCUGCUUCUGCAGCAAGAAUCUGAAUCUUCAUCAAACCAUGAAAAGCUACAACAGCCGGGCAACCACAGAGCUGGGCUUGGCCAGUUUCGAGCUCCUUCCAAAUGAUAGAACGGGGAAAACAGGAUGCGAGCGUUUAGUCAAUAUCAUCAAGUAUGUUCAACAAUCGACUUAAAAAGCUGCGGACCAAAGAGCUAUAAAUACCUUUAGUAUAGCUACAAAUUGUUUAUAUUGUAUGCACUUCAGAUGUUUAUUGAAUUACUUUUUAAUAAAAACAAAAAAAGAAAACUGUGUUUUGAUUGUGAGUGUGGUAAAAAUGCAAUGCACUACAUCCAGAUUACACUUAACAAAACAUAUUUUUUUAAAAAAAGAAAUAAAUAAAACUUAAAGGCCCCGGGUCAAAAGGGGGAUCCUGCUACCUGAAGGCCUCCUAUUAAAUCUGCACUCUCAUUUGAAGCCACACGGGAAAGCCCUUGUAAAUACUGCGCUCCCUGUGGAGUUACGGAUGCCGGAGCAUAAAGGAGACACAAUGGGGAACAAACACCAA